AUGCUUGGGGCCCACAGCCAUGCAAGCCAUGCACGUCAGCACCCGCGGGGGGGGGGGGAAACGUCUUGCCUCUGUGCUGCGCCUCUUGGGUGCCCCCCUGAGCCUCAGCCCGCCGCAGCGCGCUCCUGCUUGGGCCCCGCCUGCCUUUGUCUGCGCGGUCUCCGCCGGGCGGGCCUCGGCGUCCAGCGGUCGCUCCAACGUCAUGCUGGUGGAGAUCAACGAGCCCGACGACGGUGUGGUUGCGCCGCCGCCCGAACGACGCCGGAGCGCGCGGUGGCUCGGCUGCCGUGCGCUCGGCGGCUACGAUCCCGUCCGCCUCGGUGCACGCUAGCUCCAAUGAUUAAGAUGUCUCCAUGUUUCACUUCGUGUCGCGCGUGUGGCGCCUAUCCCCCCCGCCCUCUCUCGUGUACUAGGGCUAGGUAUGCGGGUAUCUAUAGCCUUUGUGCUAUCCGCAGCUAUGGUGUUAGUCUGUACCCCGUCAGGGGCGUGGUGUCGUCCUUGUUCUCUCCCCUCUCUGUACUUGGUGCUCCUAUCUGCGAUGGAUAG
rnacentral:rRNA from 1 species